rnacentral:other from 1 species
UGUUACCUGAGGUGUUCGAGGCCCUGUCAGUUUGAACCUACAUUUUCUUUAAACAGGGAUUCCUACAUUGUUACAUUGAUGCCAGGCCUUCAUUGCGCAGAGGAAGGCAGAGGUGUAUCUGCGGUUACCCACCUAGCAUCGCUAGGAGUCAAGAGACAGGAACGACUCCCCGGGGCAUAU